GGCUGUGCGGCGGCAGGACUUAACCCACAUGUGAACAGUGAGUGUGCCGUGUUCACAGUGGUUAAGUUCUGCCGCC
ensembl:miRNA tni-mir-27c tni-mir-27c